UACGUAGGGUCCGAGCGUUGUCCGGAAUUAUUGGGCGUAAAGAGCUCGUAGGCGGUUUGUCGCGUCUGCUGUGAAAUCCCGAGGCUCAACCUCGGGCCUGCAGUGGGUACGGGCAGACUGGAGUGCGGUAGGGGAGAAUGGAAUUCCUGGUGUAGCGGUGGAAUGCGCAGAUAUCAGGAGGAACACCGGUGGCGAAGGCGGGUCUCUGGGCCGAUAUUGACGCUGAGGAGCGAAAGCGUGGGGAGCGAACAGG
rnacentral:rRNA from 1 species